rfam:Bacteroidetes bacterium GWF2_35_48 gwf2_scaffold_898, whole genome shotgun sequence.
GAACCGGCUGUAUUAACAGCCACUAUUUCUGCUUCUGAUGUUCUAU